rnacentral:rRNA from 1 species
GAUGAACGCUGGCGGCGUGCUUAACACAUGCAAGUCGAACGAAGCACUUUAUUUGAUUUCCUUCGGGACUGAUUAUUUUGUGACUGAGUGGCGGACGGGUGAGUAACGCGUGGGUAACCUGCCUUGUACAGGGGGAUAACAGUUGGAAACGGCUGCUAAUACCGCAUAAGCGCACGGCAUCGCAUGAUGCAGUGGGAAAAAGUCCGGUGGUAUAAGAUGGACCCGCGUUGGUUUAGCUAGUUGGUGAGGUAACGGCACACCAAGGCGAGGAUCCAUAGCCGACCUGGGAGGCUGACCGGCGACGUUGGGACUGAGGCACGGCCCAAACUCCUACGGGAGGCAGCAGUGGGGAAUAUUGCACAAUGGGCGAAAGCCUGAUGCAGCGACGCCGCGUGAGCGAAGAAGUAUUUCGGUAUGUAAAGCUCUAUCAGCAGGGGAGAUAAUGACGGUACCUGACAAAGAAGCACCGGCUAACUACGUG